rnacentral:lncRNA from 1 species
UGGUGGUUUCUCCAUGUUGAUAUUCUUUCCUGCACUUAAUUUAUCGUUGGGAUUUUCUAGCUUCAUGAUUAGCUUGACUACCAACUGUAUAUAUGAUGCAUAUGAGCCUUUUUGCCUCUUCACAGUGGUAAGAUAAGAUUGUUAUGCAAUUUUUUUAGUGUUUUUAAUUCUGCAUGACUUUAAUUAAUCCUCAAGUGUGACCUUUGCUUCUUUGUAACUAUGUUUUCACUAUUUUACUGGCCUUGUUUUUCUAUCUAUAUACGUGACUUUUAAGCUAUGAUUUUUUUCUCAAUAAAGUUCUCUUUUUAU